GUGGCUGGUCUGUCAACGGUUUCGGCUUGGCCAGUCUGUUUCAGUGGGGGACAAAGUGGACACGACUAGAAGCCAUCAAGGAUGCCGUGUGGCUGAGGUCGGAGUUGGUCGGUGCUCAGUGGCUCUUCGGAAAAUGGUGGGGACACACUUGAGGAGGAGAACUGACACUACAUGUGGAACUUUGAGUGUCAGCUGAUGAAACAAGACAAUAUCUGCUGAUGCCUGCACAGCCAUUGCAGCUGCAACUACAGCCUGCACACAAAUUGCCGUUGCUUGUGCAACUGCAUCAAGCCUAGUUGAAUAGUAUGCUACUAGCCUGAGUUUUGCGGCAUGUUUUUGCAACAAAACUGAGGUCAUGUGAACGUUUCGACAAUCAACUGUCUGAUCAAAUGGUUUUUCAUAAUUUGGCAAUGUCAAUACUGCUGUUCCUGCCAAAAUAAUUUUUCAUUCACAAAAUGCUCUUUCUCCUUCCUCUGUCCAUUGAAAUUUGUCUGACAUUUUCAUUGGUGUUUCAUAAAUCAAAUUUUGCAACGGUGUUAUCGCUGCAUAAUUAGCCACCCAACUCCUGCAAUAUUUGCACAAGCCCCAAAAAGACAUAAUCUGUCGUUUUGUUUCAGGUUGUGGAGCUGACAAGAUGGCUUCUUUUCUCAUUGGGUCCACAUGAUGACUCCUUGCAGUCAACAUAUGACCUAAAUAUUUCACUUCUGUCACACAAAAUUGUAAUUUAGUUUUGUUCACUUUAUUUCUCCAUAUAUAUCCUCCAUCCUACAGAUAUGGGUGCUCUCUUUACUGGAAAUACUGGUGUAUUGCAUGGUAAAUCUGGACAUUCAAUUAAUACUCCUGCUACAGAAGCUGGCUCUAGGGACGUGGAAUGUCACCUCUCUGGCAGGGAAGGAGCCCGAGCUGGUGUGUGAAGUUGAGAAGUUCCGACUAGAUAUAGUCGGACUCGCCUCCACGCACAGCUUGGGCUCUGUUACCAGUCCUCUCGAGAGGGGUUGGACUCUCUUCCACUCUGGAGUUGCCCACGGUGAGAGGCGCCGAGCAGGUGUGGGUAUACUUAUUGCCCCCCGGCUUGGCGCCUGUACGUUGGGGUUCACCCCGGUGGACGAGAGGGUAGCCUCCCUCCGCCUUCGGGUGGGGGGACGGGUCCUGACUGUUGUUUGUGCCUAUGCACCAAACAGCAGUUCAGAGUACCCACCCUUUUUGGAGUCCUUGGAGGGGGUGCUG